UCUGGUAAUAAUGGCGAGAAGGUCACACCCGUUCCCAUAUCGAACACGGAAGUUAAGCUUCUCAGCGCCGAUGGUAGUUGGGACUUUGUCCCUGUGAGAGUAGGACGUUGCCAGGC
rnacentral:rRNA from 1 species